rnacentral:lncRNA from 1 species
CAGGUUCUCCUCUCUUUUCUUUCCUCUACGUCCCUGCUCCUCUGUCACCAAUGGAUCCGUCGAUCAAUACUGAACAGGGUCAGCGACCCGCCCCAUGCACCUCGCUUUGUGCUGAAGGCGGAAAUGGACACAGAAGCAUCGCAGCUGAACUCCCAUCCAUGACCUCCUGGGCGCCUGUGGAGGUGGUAAAAGGUGCCUUGGAGAUGACGUCCACAGGAAGGAGACAGCCAGCCAUGCUCACCAGCCACGAACGAGGCUGCCCACACCUCCCCACCUGCAUGCCCACUUCACGCUCACCCUGCUGCUGUGGCAUGGACCCCAGCAUCUCAGUAUCUCUCUCAAACUCUGAGACACCUUUCAGGAAAACCACAGGUCCUAACCAGGCCGUCAUUUUCUCUGUUUCAUCUACAGGACGCCCCCGGGCAGCCCAGCACCCCAACUUCCUCACUCACUCCCAACUCCCUCCGCCAUAAUCGGCUUUCUCUGAAGUUGUAGCAUUCAGAGUUAGGCUGACCUGGGUUCCAGUCCUGCAUGCUUAGGUCCUGACCAUGCACAGCCAGCCUCUCUGGCCUCAGCUUUCGGGUCUGUGAAAGAUUCUCUCCUUGUCUGUACCCUGCUGGGCCUGGCACAGUGCCUGGCACACAUCUGAUGCUCCACAGAUGCCAAGUGGGUGCUUGGCUGCCUGCUUCCCGGGAGUGCUACGUGGAUGUGCACCAACCCGCCUUGCUUGCCCUAUGAAAGUGCUCAGUGAUGUUUAGGCUGGCUUGUAGAUGUUGGUUAUAUCAUACCAGCCUCCUCCUGGUGUCCUGCGUGGCUCCCCAUUGGAAAAGACUUUGCCCGUUUUCAAGAGCAAUCUGGGAACUCCCCUGGUAGUCCAGGAGCUAAGACUGUGCUCGCAAUGCAUGGGGCUGCCCAAGUUCGAUUCCUAGUCAGAGAACUAGAUCUUUCAUGCUGCAAUGAAGAUCAAAGAUUCCAAAUGCAGAAGACCUGGUGCAGCCAAAUAUAUAUAUAUAUAUGUAUGUGUAUAUAUUUAUGUGUAUGUAUGUGUAUAUAUAUAUAUAUAUAUAUAUAUAUAUGUAUGUAAAAAGAGGACCGGUCUGCCUCACUCUCUGGUCCCAGCAGACUUUUGCCUUCCUCGUGCAGCUCUCCCUGGCUGCCCCAAGCCUGGAUGAUGUCCCUCCCCUGGCUGAUGUCUUCCUUUUAGUUCCUCUGAGUCUGGGACUUGUGCUAACUCUGCAGCUCCCAGCCAGGUUCUAAGCCCUACAAGAUGCUGUUCGUAAUCUUUCUUUGCUUGGUAGACAUACCCAAAGAUAGGCGGGCUGGCCAGUCACCAGAUGCAGUCACUGAUGCAGUCGCCAGAAAGGAAUCCCAGAUAACACAUCAGAGCAGAAUCAAAUCUGUCCCACAGUUUUGGGCGUGGGACCAGGCCAGGCAUUGGCAGUGCACGCAGGCCUGCACACAGACACAGACACACACACACACACACACACACACUUGAGUGUGCCAAGGCAUACUGGGGAAGGGAUAGUCUUUUCUUCCCUGUAAAGCUCCACUGAGUUGUGCCCCAGUUCUGAGGGCCCAGGUCUGAGCGUGGAGAUGACCUGCACGAGGUGAGGAAGGUUCUUGUCUGGUCGAAUGUGAUGUGGCUGCUGCUCCACUGCUGAAGGGGCACUGGGAGGAGGCGAGGGCUAAAGCUGUGCAGCCCAGCUCGGCGGGGGGAACACUGCCAAGCCUGGGAGGCGUGGGGAUGAGAUGGGUGCAUGGGGGUCCCAACCUGGGGCUUUGUCCUGAGGUAGGGGGGCUGACAUCUGACAGUAGGUUUUGAUUUCAGGUGAAAAUAUCCACUCACACACAUGGAGAUCCAUUCUUCACACACACACACACACACACACACACACACACACGACACCCUGAGGCAGUAGGUACAUAGCUCCCUAACACACCCUGCUCACACACUGAUACUGGACGAGCUCUCGCUGGUUUCUCAGGACAGGAAGUAGGAACAGAGAGUGGAUGUGCCCACAGAACAGAAGGGGCAUGUACACAGCGUGCAGCCUUGUUGAGUGGUGAGUGGUGGGUACACUGACUCAACAAAUAUCUGCUUAUUUACUGAGACCCACAGUGCGCCAAACUGUGAACAUACCAGACAUGCAUGUACCUACCUACACAUGCACACUCACACACACACCCUUAAUUGUAUCUCUUCAGGGGCAAAGCCCUACACAGAGGCAUGUUUAAAUGAUGCUCACUUUCAUCACAAAGGCAUCCACACACACAUGCACUCAUCCAUCCACAGACGCCCAGAAGUGGCCAGUGAACUUGUGUUCAUUUCCUCACAAACUGGGAAGCUUGUAGUCUGAAUCACCAGCUCCAGGUCCAACAGUGUUUCCCUAGCUGCCUCUCCUGGGGCCAGGGGCCAAGUAUCAGACGAAAUGACUUUUUAACACCCAUCUGGAAAUCAAGAAGGAAAAGGAGGUGCUACUAACACUCCCUUUGUAACCCCUUUCCAGCGUUUGAGAAAAUUGGGUGUUAUUAAAAUUGCUUUAACUCUAAAGGGCAUGAAAGGUGGACACGGGAAAAGCCAGCAGUUGCAGCCUGGAGGGCUUGCUGGAUGCUGCAGGAUGCCCUUGGGGAGAGGAUCCCUGCACACAGGGAUCUGGCAGGCUGUCCUGGCAUGAUUUUUCCAGCAACUGGAGCAUGACGCCAAUCCAAACCAUUUGCUGUGAGUCGCAGCCAUUCUUCUCUGAGUGCUCCCAUGGGUGGCACCUCUUGGGUUCUCAGGUGAGCUCAGGUAAAGGGAAGCUUAGACCCUGUUGCCGGGGAGCUCCUCAGCUGAUGGGAGAAUCAGAGCUCCUGGUUUCAGGUGGCUCUUGGCCUCAUUGAGGGAAGAUGGACAUAAAUAUGCUAACAGGAGAGGGAAAAUAGAGUUGGAAGAGAAAGAAAUAUUCGUGCAGUAUAAUUAGCAUUUAUAUGAAAUUUUAAAGCAUGAAAAACAAUUCCAUAUGUUGUUUUGACAGACAUACACAAGAAGAAUAAAGUGCAGGCAGCCGUUGCUUUGAACA